UGGGGUACACGAGUGGCGAACGGGUGAGUAACACGUGGGUGACCUGCCCUGCACUUCGGGAUAAGCCUGGGAAACUGGGUCUAAUACCGGAUAGGACCGCACCGUGAGGGUGUGGUGGAAAGUUUUUUCGGUGUGGGAUGGGCCCGCGGCCUAUCAGCUUGUUGGUGGGGUAAUGGCCUACCAAGGCGGCGACGGGUAGCCGGCCUGAGAGGGUGGACGGCCACAUUGGGACUGAGACACGGCCCAGACUCCUACGGGAGGCAGCAGUGGGGAAUAUUGCACAAUGGGCGGAAGCCUGAUGCAGCGACGCCGCGUGGGGGAUGACGGCCUUCGGGUUGUAAACUCCUUUCACCAUCGACGAAGGGUUUCUGACGGUAGAUGGAGAAGAAGCACCGGCUAACUACGUGCCAGCAGCCGCGGUAAUACGUAGGGUGCGAGCGUUGUCCGGAAUUACUGGGCGUAAAGAGCUCGUAGGUGGUUUGUCGCGUCGUCUGUGAAAUUCCGGGGCUUAACUCCGGGCGUGCAGGCGAUACGGGCAUAACUUGAGUACUGUAGGGGAGACUGGAAUUCCUGGUGUAGCGGUGAAAUGCGCAGAUAUCAGGAGGAACACCGGUGGCGAAGGCGGGUCUCUGGGCAGUAACUGACGCUGAGGAGCGAAGGCAUGGGGAGCGAACAGGAUUAGAUACCCUGGUAGUCCAUGCCGUAAACGGUGGGCGCUAGGUGUGGGUUUCCUUCCACGGGAUCCGUGCCGUAGCUAACGCAUUAAGCGCCCCGCCUGGGGAGUACGCCGCAAGGCUA
rnacentral:rRNA from 1 species